AUGAUGAAGCUUGGCUUAUUGAAUAUCAGAUCCCUUUCUACGAAAACACUUUUUGUAAAUAAUAUGAUAACUGAUCAUAAUAUAUAUGUGCUCUGUUUGACAGAAAACUGGCUAAAACCUGAUGAUUACAUUAUUAUAAAUGAGCCCACCCUCCAAGAUUACUGUUAUAAACAUGAGUCGCGUCUAAAAGGCAAAGGUGGAGGUGUUGCUUCAAUUUAUAACAACAUAUUCAGGAUUUCUCAGAGGGCAGGCUUCAAGUAUAACUCAUUUGAAGUAAUGGUGCUUCAUAUAACAUUAUCCAGAGAAACCAAUGUUAAUGAUAAAUCCCCUGUUAUGUUUGUACUGGCUACUGUAUACAAGCCACCAGGGCACCAUACAGACUUUAUUAAAGAGUUUGGUGAUUUUACAUCCGAGUUAGUUCUGGCUGCAGAUAAAGUUUUAAUAGUUGGUGAUUUUAAUAUCCAUGUUGAUAAUGAAAAAGAUGCAUUGGGAUCAGCAUUUAUAGACAUUCUGAACUCUAUUGGUGUUAGGAUACACGUUUCAGGACCUACUCAUUGUCGAAAUCAUACUCUAGAUUUAAUACUGUCACAUGGAAUUGAUGUUGAUAGUGUUGAAAUUAUUCAGCCAAGUGAUGAUAUCUCAGAUCAUUAUUUAGUUCUGUGUAAACUUCAUAUAGCCGAAAUUGUAAAUUCUACUUCUUGUUACAAGUAUGGAAGAACCAUCACUUCUACCACAAAAGACUGCUUUUUAAGUUAUCUUCCUGAUGUAUCCAAAUUCCUUAGCAUAUCCAAAACCUCAGAACAACUUGAUGAUGUAACAGAAACUAUGGACUCUCUCUUUUCUAGCACUUUAAAUACAGUUGCUCCUCUAUGCUUAAGGAAGGUUAAGGAAAACAGUUUGACACCAUGGUAUAAUGAGCAUACUCGCACCCUAAAGAGAUCAGCCCGAAAAAAUGGAGCGCAGCUGGAGGAAAACAAAACUAGAGGUAUUUCGUAUUGCUUGGUGGGAAAGUAA
rnacentral:lncRNA from 1 species